CCCUUAGAUGUUCUGGGCCGCACGCGCGCUACACUGAUGAAUGCAACGAGCUCUACCCUUGACCGAAAGGCCCGGGUAAACUUGUGAAACUUCAUCGUGAUGGGGAUAGAUUAUUGCAAUUAUUAAUCUUCAACGAGGAAUUCCUAGUAAGCGCGAGUCAUCAGCUCGCGUUGAUUACGUCCCUGCCCUUUGUACACACCGCCCGUCGCUACUACCGAUUGAACGUUUUAGUGAGGCAUUUGGACCGACGCAUCUCAGUUUAACCGCUGGUUUGUGUUGGAAAGACUUCCAAACUUGAGCGUUUAGAGGAAGUAAAAGUCGUAACA
rnacentral:rRNA from 1 species